GGAGAGGUGACCGAGUUUGGCCGAAGGUGCGCGCCUGCUAAGCGCGUGUGGGUCGAAAGACUCACCCAGGGUUCAAAUCCCUGCCUCUCCGCCC
rnacentral:tRNA from 1 species